rnacentral:rRNA from 1 species
GUUGAACGCUGGCGGCAUGCCUUACACAUGCAAGUCGAACGGCAGCACGGGAGCAAUCCUGGUGGCGAGUGGCGAACGGGUGAGUAAAGUAUCGGAACGUGCCCAGUCGUGGGGGAUAACGUAGCGAAAGUUACGCUAAUACCGCAUACGAUCUAUGGAUGAAAGCGGGGGAUCGCAAGACCUCGCGCGAUUGGAGCGGCCGAUAUCAGAUUAGGUAGUUGGUGGGGUAAAGGCUCACCAAGCCGACGAUCUGUAGCUGGUCUGAGAGGACGACCAGCCACACUGGGACUGAGACACGGCCCAGACUCCUACGGGGGGCAGCAGUGGGGAAUUUCGGACAAUGGGCGCAAGCCUGAUCCAGCCAUGCCGCGUGCAGGAUGAAGGCCUUCGGGUUGUAAACUGCUUUUGUACGGAACGAAAAGGUUUGACUUAAUACGUUGGACUCAUGACGGUACCGUAAGAAUAAGCACCGGCUAACUACGUGCCAGCAGCCGCCGUAA